rnacentral:rRNA from 1 species
GAGUUUGAUCGUGGCUCAGAUUGAACGCUGGCGGCAGGCCUAACACAUGCAAGUCGAGCGGUAGAGAGAAGCUUGCUUCUCUUGAGAGCGGCGGACGGGUGAGUAAUGCCUAGGAAUCUGCCUGGUAGUGGGGGAUAACGCUCGGAAACGGACGCUAAUACCGCAUACGUCCUACGGGAGAAAGCAGGGGACCUUCGGGCCUUGCGCUAUCAGAUGAGCCUAGGUCGGAUUAGCUAGUUGGUGAGGUAAUGGCUCACCAAGGCGACGAUCCGUAACUGGUCUGAGAGGAUGAUCAGUCACACUGGAACUGAGACACGGUCCAGACUCCUACGGGAGGCAGCAGUGGGGAAUAUUGGACAAUGGGCGAAAGCCUGAUCCAGCCAUGCCGCGUGUGUGAAGAAGGUCUUCGGAUUGUAAAGCACUUUAAGUUGGGAGGAAGGGCAGUAAAUUAAUACUUUGCUGUUUGACGUUACCGACUAGAAUAAGCACCGGCUAACUCUGUGUCAGCACG